GCCCUCCAUAGCCAUCCCUCCCUCUGUCAGUCCUGCUCUACUUUCCAAAUCCUCGCCUACUCCAAACCUGACCCAUCCUCAGACCCCCACCCCCGUCACCGCUCCUCCCAAUGAUUCUUCCUUCUUUGAUCCUGCCAACUUUUCCCCAACAGCACCGUAAUCCUCCCCCAAAUCAUCACAGUCCUCCACCAUACAAUCCCACUCCUGCCUUCGUUCUCUUCCUCUCUCCAACCACCCAGCUUCUGAUUCUGAUUCCUCCCCAUCUCCACCUCAUACCCGCUCUCAGACUCAGCAUGCCCAACACUCGGCCCCCUUACUUCCCCUCUGAGAGGUGGCUGGGGCUAAAGGAGUCGUUCGCGUCCACAUUCCCUUCUCCCUCUCUAACCUUUCCCAAAUUAAGAAACGUUUCAGGUCCUUUUCCUCCAAUCCUGACACUUAUAUCAAAAAGCUCAAAUACCUCACCCAAUCUUACAAACUCACUUGGCAUGAUCUCUAUAUUAUCCUCUCUUAUACUCUCCUCCCAGAAAAAAAAAAGAAGAAAAGAGUGGCUUGCAGCUCAGGCAUGCCAAUGAUCUUCAUCCACAGGACCGUACUAAGCCCAGCUGCAGUUCCCUGGGAAAAACCCUCCUGGGAGUACCAACCCACAGACCCCAGCCGGGCAUCUCAUAACCACAUGAUCACUUGCCUUAUCUCAGGUCUUAAUAAAGCUGCCCAUAAGGCUGUAACUUUGAAAAACUCAAAAAAAUCUCCCAAAGGGCCGACAAAAAUCCCACCAAAUUUCUUUCCCGCCUUACAGAGGCCCUCCAAAAAUACACCCAUGUUAACCCCACCUCCCGGGAAGGAACUAUUGUCCUUAAUACCCAUUUCAUCUCUCAGUCUGCUUCUGACUUACGGCGCAAGCUCAAAAAGGUAGAAGACAGCCCUCAAACCCCUCAACGAGACCUCCUUAACCUGGCCUUUAAGGUCUUCAGCAACAGAGAUGAGCAAAAUAAAUUAGAUAAAGCCCAAGGAGAUUGUGCCAAAUACCAGCUCCUAGCAGCAGCUAUUUGUCAGCCUACUCGGGCUGCCCAGGGGCACAAAAGACCCCAUAGCAGUGACCCUCCCGGGCCCUGUUUUAAGUGCUGCAAAGAAGGUCACUGGGCCCGAGCAUGCCCUAACCCAUGAUUGCCAAAAACUCCUUGCCCAGCCUGCCAAGAAACUGGUCACUGGAAGUCUCGUCCUCUUAACAAGCAGACUAACAGGCCGGUUCCUCAAGGCCCUGGCAAAAUGAAGAGUGAAGAGUCACUCCCACUCCCACAGCUCCUUGUCUUGGCCACUGAAGAUUGACAGAGCCCAGGGCCCCCGGCCCCAUCUGCCAUCACUGCAUCGGAACCCAGGGUAACUCUGCUAAUGGCAGCAUUAUUUCCAUGACCUGCCCAGGGAUGAGAAGAAGAAUUUCCGUAAAACUUAGUGAUGCUCCCCAAAUCAUUUCCAGAUGUCAUCGAUGUUCUGCCUGACCAUUUUCAUCCUGGGCCUGACUUUCCUGGAAUUCCCUGGAUGCUUGCUAUUAUUGUUGUUUCCCUGGGAAUUUGUUCACUUGGCAUUUUCUUCUGGAAAACUAGCCUUGGUGUCAACAUGGCUGAACAGGAGCCUCGUUCUCUGUCAGAAUCGCCCUACUUGCCCUACCUCAUGGCUGGCCCUUCCGGACCAUUGAUGGGCUGCCAGCCACCUCCCCCACCUCCGUGUCCUCUGGGGCGUCAACCACUCUCUGCAACUGAAGGUUUUCUGGGACCUCUGAUACGUCCUCCACUCGAACACCCUCUGGGACCUGAAACACCUUCUCCAGCUGAAGGUUUACUGAGAACUCAGACACCUCCUCCACCCAAGUUUCCUAAUGGACCUCAGCAGUGUCCUCCACUCGAGUGUCCCCUGGAACUUCAAUCAUCUCCUCCACUCGAGUGUCCUCUGGGACUUCAACUACCUACUGCACUUGAGUGUCCACUGGGACCUCAACCACCUCCUGCACUCGAGUGCCCUCUGGGAUCUCAUCAACCUCCUCCACUGGAGUGUCCUCUGGGACCUCAACUAUCUCUUACAACUCUCUGUCCUCUGGGACCUCGACCACUUCCCGAAGCUCUUUGUCCUCUGGGACCUCAUCCACCUCCUGCAGCUGCCUGUCCUCUGGGACCUCAUCAACCUUCUUCUGCUGUGUGGCCUGUGGGACCUCAGCCUACUCCUCCACUUAGUAGCCUGGGGAGCCUCAGCCACCUCCCCUGCCUGGGUGGCCUCUGGCCCCUCCCCUACCACUUUCACAUGAGUCUCCUCUGGUACUUCAAUAGUCUCCACUCGUGGCCUUGGGACUUCAGCCACCUUCUCCACCCAGGUCUCCUCUAGUACGUCAGCGACCUCCUCCACUUGGGUGGCCUCUGCUAUCUCAACCGAGUCCUUCACCUGAGUGUCCUCUGGGACCUCAGCCACUUCCUAUACCCAUGUGGCCACUGCGACCUUGACCACCACCUCCACCUGCACCAUUUGGUUUGUUUUUCUGAACAGUAGAAACUGACUUGUGAAAUGGAUUCCUGUUUCCUUUGUUUAGGUGAAUGGGAAUGUCACAGAUGGUACUGCAGGGCUCUGUAGCGCCAUGGUAACACUGGCUGAAGAUGCGGUCACUUUUCUCAAGUUUCUGAGAGUACACUCUCGGUUGCAUUAUUUCCUCAUCAUGACCUUGGCAGCAGGGUUCUCUUGUAGACGAGGAAAUAGUAUUUUUUAUUUUAGGGGGACAAAGUCUCGCUCUAUCACCCAGGCUGGAGUCCAGUGGCGCAAUCCUGAUUCACUGCAACCUCCGCCUCCAGUGCUCUGGUGAUCCUCCCAUCUAAGCUUCUGGAGUAGCUGGUACUACAGGCCUGCGCCACCACGACUGGCUAAUUUUUUUCUUUUUACUUUUUGUGGAGACCAUGCUUCACCAUGUUGCUCAGGCUGGUCUCGAACUCCUAGACUCAUGCCAUCUGCCCACUUUGGCCUCUCAAAGUGCUGAGAUUACAGGCAUGAGCCACUGUGCCCAGCCAGAGAUUGCUUAUAGAAUCCAGAAAUACCAGUUCUGCAGGCGUGUAUGGAACCUGGGCCAUAGGACCAGCUCUGUGAGGGAUGAGACCCAUCCCUGACUUGCAGGGUAUCCUGUGUCCUGCAGCAGAGAGACCCACACAGAAGGGCACAGAGCCUCUGACCACUCCUAAUGGAAGCACAGGUGAAGGGACCCAGGGUGCAGAAGGCAGAGACAGAAUCUCCUGGGAAUAAACAGGAAGCUGUGGAAGAGAAGGAUGAAGCAGGGAGGUGUCACAUGGGGCUUUGUUGCACUCAGGUGGAGCUGGAAGGCUGCUCCUGGCCGAGCAAGCACUGUGAGCAGGGGUGUGGAGGCUGCAUGACUGCCACACAGAGCCCCCGUGGGAGAGCUCAGAUGCACAGUGCGCACAGGGAAUUACCGCCCCCUGCACUUCCUUGUUGCCCUACAGCCUUUAGUCCAUUACCUGUAGGAAAGAUGAAUCUUUCCCCGGAUGUGUGAAGGCUUUGAAUCAGGGACCGUUGGAAGACUCUCCUGAGCCGUGAUAUCUUGGAAGAGUAUCCAACGUGUUUUAUGCUCCGUGCCCGGUGCUGCCUCCUCUCCCUCUCAUUUCCAUAGUGUUUCCCUUAAUAAACAUUCGCAGUCCU